AGAACAUCUGCUUUGCUCCGGAUCACAGCGUGUCCUCCUUCAAUGAGGCGAUCGGCGUCGUGAAACUUGUCCCACCUCGGCGUGCAUAGUGGGAUGAAUGAUUAACGCUUAAGAAGAAAUGACAGAGGACGAUUUGGAAAGCAGAUGUUUAACCAUAAAACGAACCGUUCCGUAUAGUAUAAACUAUAAACUAUAAACUAUAAAUUAUCACGAGUCCACGAGCAAAAAUCGAGACACGUGCAGCAAGUUGCAGGCUAUUUCUCUAGACAUUCCACCACCACCGCCACCGAUCUACCGAAAAUUCACCGCUGCAAUCCAAGAUUACAGAGCAGCCAGCUUUUUCAAUUAAUAAUAAUGAGGCUAAAAUGCAUCCGUGAUAGUAAAGAUACAGAGACAAGGCAUAAUAACUUAAGGUAUAAUAACUUAAAGUUUCUCUUAAAAGUCGACCACCCACUCUACAUAAGACACGUGAUCUAUUAUGCAAUUACUUGCUGAAAUUCAGUUUAAAAACAGUCUAGAACAAUUGACGAGCCCAAUUGCAGUAUCGUUUAGACUUUAGACGGAGAAGCUACAGAAUUGUUUGAUGGAUUCCGAAGACGGCACACGGUCUUCUCGGAUUCCGUAUCUACAUAACAGCUGUCCUCUUGGGGCUGCGCGUAUCUUGAAACGUUUUCCGUGUAAACGUGUACAAAGGGAUUUUGUGUUCGUUUCUUUUGAUUGGAAGGAAGAAAGAUUCUUACCGCUAACGUGUCCAA